rnacentral:rRNA from 1 species
AGUAACGCGUGGGUAACCUGCCUCAUACAGGGGGAUAACAGUUAGAAAUGACUGCUAAUACCGCAUAAGCGCACAGUGCUGCAUGGCACAGUGUGAAAAACUCCGGUGGUAUGAGAUGGACUCGCGUCUGAUUAGGUAGUUGGUGGGGUAACGGCCUACCAAGCCGACGAUCAGUAGCCGACCUGAGAGGGUGACCGGCCACAUUGGGACUGAGACACGGCCCAA